rnacentral:rRNA from 1 species
UACGUAGGGUGCAAGCGUUAUCCGGAAUUAUUGGGCGUAAAGAGCUCGUAGGCGGUUUGUCGCGUCUGCUGUGAAAACUGGAGGCUCAACCUCCAGCCUGCAGUGGGUACGGGCAGACUAGAGUGCGGUAGGGGAGAUUGGAAUUCCUGGUGUAGCGGUGGAAUGCGCAGAUAUCAGGAGGAACACCGAUGGCGAAGGCGGGUCUCUGGGCAGUAACUGACGCUGAGGAGCGAAAGCGUGGGGAGCGAACAGG